rnacentral:lncRNA from 1 species
CUGAGGGCUAGAUAUUUGCACAAAAUAGACCUCAAAGUAAAGAGAUGAUUUAUUUGUCUACACUUUCCCUGGGAGGAAGAUUCCAUAAUGUGCAAUGUCAGCUGGUACACACCAUCUUCCUGAAUCCCUUGCUUCAUCUCAUGGACCGUAGGACCUUCCAAAGCUUAGAGAUUAAAUGCUUUUUCAGUCUGCUAUUUCUUUCAUUCUGCUAGCCACUUGAAAAAUAACCUGAUUAGAACUGCAGACAAAAAAUAAAUAAAACAAACUAACUAAAUUAUGCUCACAGUAGAAGCUGUGGAAGUCAUUUGUUGACUAAUCAUAGCCAUUUCUGUGGUUUGUCUGUUUGUGUAAUUAUAAGAAUAUGUAGGUGUUUUGAACACAGAAGAUAAAAAUGAGCCUGUCUGGUUUUCCAGUUUUGAAUCUGAGAGAAGUAGGUUGGAAGUCAUUAAAAGUUAUUGUUUUUUUCCAUAUGUACAUCUGACCAAAAUGAUGAUCUAUUGGUUUUAGCAACUUUUCCAUAAAUCCCAUCUGACUCAUCCUCUCAUCUGAUAAAUGAGACAAUCCUGUGGAAGGAUGUCACGAGGACACAAGAACAAUUGUACUGGGUCAAAGAUACACCCAGUCCUGUAUCCUGUCUCUGACAGUGGCCAACACUAUCUCAGAAGAAAAGCAGCAAGAGCAGUUCCAGGAAAGCUGAUCUCUCCUGAAGUGUACCAGAAUUCCUGGAUGUCGCUGAGUGCAGAAGCCAGCAGAUGUCAAGAAGAAAGAAUAGCUUCAAGCCUUUAUGAAAAGGUCUGGACGCUAGCAGUGAUGGGAGCCAGACAAAAAAAAAAAAUAAAAAAAAAAGAGAGAGAGAGAGAGAACUUAUUAAAUUUCUAGAUCCAGCAGUUUAAAUCAGUUUAAAUAUCCAAUUUAUAUUAAAGCACUAGAAUCUUAAAUUUUGUGUAGCUGUUAUGUCACUCCUUUGCUUUGCUGUUUCCCCAGUCAGAGGUGAUAGACCUGCGUUAUCUCAGAUUAUCAUGGCAAUAUCUGAAGUAUUUUUUAUCUGGGAAGUGACUCACUGUUUUGCAAAUUUAUGAGACAUCAAAAUGAAUGCAUGCAUCAGCUAAGGACAAAGUGAUUUCAAAGAGCUUUUCUGUGCAGAGUGAACAGAAACAGGAUGACUGUUUUUUAACUCAGUGUUAGCUGAUAAACUCAAAUAUUUUACAAGCAUCUUUAAGAGAUACUGAAAAAUAUAGCUAUAUUUUCUCCCUUGCUUUUUCUUUUCUGUUAUGAAAACAGAAUUAUAGUACUUGUCUGCUCUAACUAAAGCUGAUCUAAAAAGAGAAAAAAAAACCACUAAGUUUCUCCUUCCAAAUCUUUAUGACUUUAUUUCAAAUUUUAAAAAUCUUCUAAAACAUACGAACACUUUCAAAACCAAACAUAAAUUCCAGAUGUUAUGUAGGCCUCCCAGAACUGAAUUAUCUACUGACCGUGUUUUGUAGAGACAGAUAACUACCUCUGCACUGGCAUGCAAUGAGCAGCCGUUCAGCAAUCGUAUUUAGGUCCCAAAAAUGUCUGGCAAAUCUUAGUAGCGACAUGAAAAAAAAAAGGAGGAAGAAGGCAAAAGUACAUGUCAAUAGCCAGGAGAUGAUGGGUCGAGACAGACACUAAGGUUUUACUAAAAAGCAAAAGCAGCUAUUUGUUCCAUGUUCACUGCUACUUGCUGGUUCUGGCUCAGCUGGAGCUUUGUGGACGACUCUCUCAGGACUUUCCUUAGCACAGCUAAAGUAAGGCAGAUGUCACCUGUUCAUCCACUUUUGAGGUGAAAACCAGAUACACAGUGAACUCUCUAGUCAUAUCUUGUGAGAGAGGUCAGGGUGCUGCAUGCACCUCUGGAACCCCUGUUUUGCUGGAAGCACGAGGCUGGAAGCUGUGUGCCACUUCUCACAUAGCAGGACCACUCUGGAUACAGCUUGUGUAAUGUCAUCUUGAAAGUCAGGGCUUUCCUAGGCACAGCCAUGGUGAGAUAGGUGCAGGCUUAAAAUGCUGUGGUGCUAUUGGCAUUAUGGCAACAAACUGGUAAGUGAGGAGCAGGAAGUACAGCUUGAAAGGUCUUGCAGAAGGCCUAUGUGCCAGUGCCAUGCCUUGUGUAUGGACAGAAACAAAACCCUGGAGUGCUAUCACUCAGCCCUUGGCAGGGAAUUUACAAGGAGGUGUAGAUGAGCUUUACCCAGACAUAAUUCAAACAUAAUAGCAGUAAGUAAUGCACAUACAAAAGAUAUCAGGGCUCAAAUUUAAAGACAGUUUUUCAGAAGUAUGAAAAACUUUUUAUAGAUAAUGUGGUAGAAAAGGCAAUGGGAAAAGAGACCAGGAAUGGGUCUUAUCUCCCUGUGCACACAGAUGGGCUUCUGUCAAAAUGCAGGCAUUGCACUCUGUGUGUAGUACAUCAAGGUACUCAAUUCCUUGGAUGUCUUGACUUUGCAUUUACAACCCUCUUUAAUUUCAUAGCAUAGGUGUUUAUAGGCAUAUAAUUAAAAAUAACACAUUAGAACAAUGAAUUAUAAUGGCACCUCAGUUUUCCCAGACCAUAUAAAUUAAUCACUUCUCAUCCUCCUCUGACCUUGUUUCAGUAAGUAGAUAGGAUAAAUUCAUUUGACAUUUACUCUUUGCCAGUUUCACUUCCUGAACAUCCUCUACAAAGCAGCAGAUUAAUUCUUCAGGGUUAAAGUGUGAUGUAGACAACACAGCUGUACAAGAGACUGAGAGGAUAAGAAACUCUCUUGCCACAUGCUCCACCAACCACCAAAAUAUCAGUAGCAAGAUCUAGCAAGCCGUCUUGCUGCCAGCCUGCAGCAGAUGGGGAAGGAGAUAACAGCUGAUUUCAGUUCUUUCCUUGGAGCAUCACAUCUUCAACAGAAAAUUGCUACUUUCCUCUCCGUGCCUUGUUUUGGGGUGGGGACAGGGUGGAAAAGGGGGCAGUGCCUUUGAAGGACUGCACAGAUCAUUGCUCAGAGCUUUCCCUAACCUCAGAACAAGCAUUGCGCACUUGAGCAUGACUUGAAUACACCUUAAAAGUAAGGAGAAAAAAAAAUAUGACAGUAGAGGCCUAAUAGAAACCAUUCUAACAGAAAUAAUAAUUGGAUGCCACUUUAAAACUGAUGAGACCCUAGUAAUACUCUUCAUUUUGUCUUUCUGAUAUUGCUUGGGAAAAGGACUGCAAUAUGUAAUAAACUAUUAACAAUACAGAAGAGAGAAAAAAAA